rnacentral:rRNA from 1 species
AACAAACGCUGGCGGCGUGCCUAAUACAUGCAAGUCGAACGGGGAAAGCUUUCGGGUGAGUACUAGUGGCGCACGGGUGAGUAACGCGUGGAUAAUCUGCCUUAGAGUGGGGGAUAACUAGUCGAAAGAUUAGCUAAUACCGCACAAGACCACAAGAACUGCGGUUCAAGGGGUCAAAGGUUUUUCGCUCUAAGAUGAGUCCGCGUAAGAUUAGCUAGUUGGGGGGGUAAUGGCUCACCAAGGCGACGAUCUUUAACUGGUCUGAGAGGAUGAGCAGUCACACUGGAACUGAGACACGGUCCAGACUCCUACGGGAGACAGCAGUAGGGAAUAUUGCACAAUGGAGGAAACUCUGAUGCAGCGACGCCGCGUGAGUGAUGAAGGCCUUCGGGUCGUAAAGCUCUGUCGCAAGGGAAUAACACAAUGAAUGUACCUUGCAAGAAAGGAUCGGCUAACUUCGUGCCAGCCGCCGCAGUAACAC